rnacentral:antisense_RNA from 1 species
GAAACACAGUACUCAAUAAAUGUGGUAUUUUCUUAUUCACUGAAUUUCCAACAGGAAUUAGAAACUCCACAUCUAACUUAGUUGCCUUUAGGAAGCAGCUAUGGCAACCAGAAAGUUCCCAGGAUCCUGUCUCCUAAAGCUGAAAAGCCUAAUCAACUGCAGGGGGCCUUUCUGUGGGAAGAUAACAGCAGCGCAGAGGCAAAGAAAAGGGAAGGCACGGCGGUGGCCCUUGUGGGGCGUUCUGGGAGAAGAGAUUAAUUCACCAAGUCCCUGCGCGGCACAGCAGGAUUACGGGGCUUUUACAAAACUGAAGACAAAACGAAGAGCAGCAGCUUCUAGAAUAAGGCCAAGCACCAAACUGAAGACUCGGUGGAGACUAUCACUUCAGAUGAUAGCAUGUCUCCAAGCAAGACAAAUGAAAGGGAAAAUGAAGCAAAGGGAGAGUAGGGAGCUACAAUAAAAACCGAGCUAUUCUU